rnacentral:lncRNA from 1 species
UAAUUGUUCAAAUUUGAAGAGGUUUCUGGAGAUCCCAUCUUGUAAUACAGAUGGAAGUACUGGAAUUGAGCGACUAGGCUCAUGUGAGUUGGUAUUGAAAGAAUGUUCAAAUAUUGAGUGUCUUCCAAGUAGCAUGUGUAUGUUCAAAUCUCUGACAUCUCUUGAAAUUGUUGAUUGCCAAAAUUUCAAGAGAUUGCCUUAUGAACUUGGAAAUUUCGAAGCCUUGAGCACGUUGACCAUUGAUGGAACAGUUAUAAGAGAAGUACCAGAAAGCCUUGGUCGGUUACCUUUAUUAUAUUCCUUGCAAUUGAAGAAGUGUUCAGAGCUUGAGUACAUCACGAGUAGCAUAUUUAAGUUGAAGUCUGAUAUUGAAAUCUCUAAUUGUUCAAAUUUGAAGAGGUUUCUGGAGAUCCCAUCUUGUAAUACAGAUGGAAGUACUGGAAUUGAGUGGCUAGGCUCAUAUGAGUUGGUAUUGAAAGAAUGUUCAAAUAUUGAGUGUCUUCCAAGUAGCAUGUGUAUGUUCAAAUCUCUGACAUCUCUUGAAAUUGUUGAUUGCCAAAAUUUCAAGAGAUUGCCUUAUGAACUUGGAAAUUUCGAAGCCUUGAGCACGUUGACCAUUGAUGGAACAGUUAUAAGAGAAGUACCAGAAAGCCUUGGUCGGUUACCUUUAUUAUAUUCCUUGCAAUUGAAGAAGUGUUCAGAGCUUGAGUACAUCACGAGUAGCAUAUUUAAGUUGAAGUCUGAUAUUGAAAUCUCUAAUUGUUCAAAUUUGAAGAGGUUUCUGGAGAUCCCAUCUUGUAAUACAGAUGGAAGUACUGGAAUUGAGUGGCUAGGCUCAUAUGAGUUGGUAUUGAAAGAAUGUUCAAAUAUUGAGAGUCUCCCAAGCAGCUUGUGUAUGUUCAAAUCUCUAACAUCUCUUGAAAUUGUUGAUUGCCAAAAUUUCAAGAGAUUGCCAGAUGAACUUGGAAAUUUAGAAGCCUUGAGAACGUUGACCGUUGAUGGAACAACUAUAAGAGAAGUACCAGAAAGCCUUGGUCAGUUACCUUUAUUAUAUUCCUUGCAAUUGAAGAACUGUUCAGAGCUUGAGUACAUCUCGAGUAGCAUAUUUAAGAUGAAGUCUCUUGAAUCUAUUGAAAUCU